CCCUCAUGGACAGCAGUACACAUGCAUUUGUUGACAAGCUGAACUAUACAGAGCUAACCCAGGACAACAUCAGAAGUAGAACAUUUGGCCUGACAAGUUCUCUCACACAGGCAUCAGGAUUAGGCCACGCAUGUUUGAAAUGCAGAAAACGCCCAGCGCCGCUCCAGCCUGACACUGAGCGCUCAUGUGACGGCUAAGCUCCUGUAAUGCUCGCUGUGAAAGCGAAAUAAUAAUGCACUCAGACAGCGCAGCUCGUGGAAGUAUGUACUUGAAGGACGUGAGAAACAAACACACGCAGACUGACAUCCUCACCUCAAAGAAAGAAAACAGGAACAAGUCCUUAACCUAAGAAAGAAACCAUAGAAAGGAAGAAAACAGGAAGGAGUCUAUGACAUGAGCAGACAAGGCACGUGUGCACCUUUACCUGAAUCUGCCUAACAAAGAAAGUGUAUUAUCCACUGUCUUACUGUAAA
rnacentral:lncRNA from 1 species